CUCAAGCUAUUACAAUUCACUGAGCCGCGGCGUCUCUAGGGGCAGCGGAAGAACCGUGGGUGUGAUCCGUGAGCACAGUCACGCAGAUCUGUGGGGAAGCAACAUGCAGACAUGGAUGGAAGAUGGGAGACCUAUCUCUAGCUGCCUGAGUUGUCCACCAGCAAGAUGAACCCACAAGCGCCGUGGUGGACAAAGAGUUUCAUGUGGCAAUGACGCGUGGAGGACGACGGUCACGAGCGCAUUGUCGCAAGCUCACCGGAGGGAGGCACACAUCUCAUCCAAUGGAAAAGCACGCUCCAAAAAAUCCCUAACCCUCCAUGGAGCCAUUGCUAGGGGGCGACGAGAUCAACGCCACCCACCACGACCACCGAGUUGUACAAGUGCGGAGAUUUCUUGCCUGGCGUAUAACAAUGCGUGUUCAUUGGGGUAGCCUCUUCUCACGCACAAGUCUCAGAGAGGCAGACAGCGACAACUAUUCAGAAUAACCACAACAAAAUUGUGACACAGGUGGUUAGUGGGAGAAGGAACCUGAGACCGCAGCCGAUUCUGCUGCAAGGGUGGUGUGUAGAAGAUAGUUAGCAAGCAUAUAAGUCACUCUGGAAAAAGUGUGUAGUUAUUGUUGUACUAGAGAUCCAUUCCGAUAUUUUCACUGAUAUGCAUGGUUGAAUAGUACUAUGUGUCAUAUGUGAGAGUAAUGUAAUACAAAAUGAAACAUGGGGGACAGGGCUUCGUGACUGAGCUGGCGAAGAUGUCAGUGGUGGAAGCGGACAUGUUAUAGAAGAUGUUGAGGGUGGCACCGGAGGUAAUGGCCAAAUGGGGUUCCUCGGCACCGAAGAGAAGGAUGCUGCAGCGACACCGACACGUACUGGGUUCCAUUUCCAACCAGAGAGAACUUAUGAACGGUAUGUGCGCGAUCCAUUCAUUCUUCCGUUUGAUCCUUCCUUAUUCCUCUCAACUCAGAUUAAUUUUAUUUUGUAAUUAUGCAUGAUUUUGAUGGAUCAAUAAAUUUAGUGGCAUUAAUUGCAAUGAGAAAUAUCGUAUAUCCAUAAACUUCACUUUGUUGUUUUUCAGCUGAACAUGAUAGUUUGUGUCUUUUUGUUAUGGACUUCAAUAUGGUCGAUGGUAGCUUGCUAAAUAAAGCAAGACCCAACACAUAAUUUCAUGCCGAGAGUUUGACCUGUUUAAUUUUGUACGGAAAAUAUUUGCUGCUAAUAAUGAGAAAGUUCUGAUUUGUAAAUGCAAUAUUCUUCCAUGUAUACGGAAUUAUAGAUUGAACAAAAUAUAAGCCAAAGUUGAAUCUCAAGCCUUAAUUA